rnacentral:rRNA from 1 species
UAGGGAAUAUUGCAAAAUGGGCGAAAGCCCGAUGCAGCAACGCCGCGUGGGCGAUGAAGGCCUUCGGGUCGUAAAGCCCUUUUUGAGGGGAUGAGGAAGGACAGUACCCUCAGAAUAAGCCUCGGCUAACUACGUGACAGCAGCCGCGGUAAAACGUAGGAGGCGAGCGUUAUCCGGAUUUACUGGGCGUAAAGCGCGUGCAGGCGGAUUGGAGAGUUGGAUGUGAAAGCUCCCGGCUUAACUGGGAGAGGUCGUUCAAUACUUCCAGUCUUGAGUGCAGUAGAGGGAAGUGGAAUUCCGGGUGUAGUGGUGAAAUGCGUAGAUAUCCGGAGGAACACCAGUGGCGAAAGCGGCUUCCUGGACUGUAACUGACGCUCAGACGCGAAAGCUAGGGUAGCAAACG